GGCGUAAAGCGAGCGUAGGUGGCUUGAUAAGUCAGAUGUGAAAGCCCCGGGCUUAACCUGGGAACGGCAUCUGAUACUGUUAGGCUAGAGUAGGUGAGAGGAAGGUAGAAUUCCAGGUGUAGCGGUGAAAUGCGUAGAGAUCUGGAGGAAUACCGAUGGCGAAGGCAGCCUUCUGGCAUCAUACUGACACUGAGGUUCGAAAGCGUGGGUAGCAAACAGGAUUAGAUACCCUGGUAGUCCACGCCGUAAACGAUGUCUACUAGUCGUUGGGUCCCUUGAGGACUUAGUGACGCAGCUAACGCAAUAAGUAGACCGCCUGGGGAGUACGGCCGCAAGGUUAAAACUCAAAUGAAUUGACGGGGGCCCGCACAAGCGGUGGAGCAUGUGGUUUAAUUCGAUGCAACGCGAAGAACCUUACCUGGUCUUGACAUAUCUAGAAUCCUGCAGAGAUGCGGGAGUGCCUUCGGGAAUUAGAAUACAGGUGCUGCAUGGCUGUCGUCAGCUCGUGUCGUGAGAUGUUGGGUUAAGUCCCGCAACGAGCGCAACCCUUGUCCUUAGUUACCAGCGGUUUGGCCGUGAACUCUAAGGAUACUGCCAGUGACAAACUGGAGGAAGGCGGGGACGAUGUCAAGUCAUCAUGGCCCUUACGACCAGGGCUACACACGUGCUACAAUGGUAGGUACAGAGGGCAGCUACACAGCGAUGUGAUGCGAAUCUCAAAAAGCCUAUCGUAGUCCAGAUUGGAGUCUGCAACUCGACUCCAUGAAGUAGGAAUCGCUAGUAAUCGCGGAUCAGAAUGCCUCGGUGAAUACGUUCCCGGGCCUUGUACACACCGCCCGUCACACCAUGGGAGUUGAUUGCACCAGAA
rnacentral:rRNA from 1 species